rnacentral:lncRNA from 1 species
GGGAGGUGGCACAGAGCAGGGCUUGGUGUCCUCAGAGCCGGCAGGAUUCACUGUGGGGAUCACAACUCUGCCAUCUCCUCGUUUGGAGUUUAUCCUUGUUUCCUGAGGAAUCUGCAACGCAGAGAUUUGGGAUUAUGGGGUGAGAAUCGAGGCUGCCACCAAGGAGAGCUCCUGUUCCCCCUGGGCAGGCACCCCAGAAAUUUGGGAUUAUGGGGUGAAAAUCGAGGCUGCUACCAAGGAGAGAGAGCUCCUGUUCCCCUUGGGCAGGCAACCCAGAAAUUUGGGAUUGGGGUGAGAAUUGAGGCUGCCCUGCCACCAAGGAGAGAGAGCUCCUGUGCCCCCUGGGCAGAAAACCCAGAAAUUUGGGAUUAUUUGGGGUGAGAAUUGAGGCUGCCACCAAGGAAAGAGCUCCUGUUCCCCCAGGGCAGGCUGGCACCUGCCAGUGGGAAAGGGAUGGGAACCCACCCAAACCCAGCCCCUCGUGGAUUUUCAUCCGU